rnacentral:sRNA from 1 species
UUGGUGGGUCCCGCCCAGACAAUCAUAUCUGGCGGCAGAGGUUUUAUUUUUAUAUUAAGGCGUUUUCAUUCUCUCCCCACUGGGGCAUUUGAAAUAAUCAAAAGUUGACCUGUCAAUCGUCUCGUUUCCUUCAGUGUAAUUUGCUUCCAAGUGCUGGCCUAUAAAUAAAAAACCAAAAAUCAGAUGAGGGUUUUUCAGGCUCUCGUGAGCUGAAGGCUCAUCUAUAGGCGCGGAAUUGGGGAAGAUCUACCGUUGGUAUGACGUCCCAAGAGUAUAUCAAUCUCACUCUUUAUAUUUGCCAAUUAUCAAAUUAUGGUGAAGGAGUAACUUCAAUUCCCCGGAUGAAGCACAUAUCUUCCGAGCCUUUAGACAAGAGUUGGUGGUGUAAUUGAUCGAUCAAUCUUUGCGUCAGAGUUCUCCCAAUGGCUCAUCCGAUAAAAAUUUCCACUUCGUCAACUGGUUCUUCCCCAGUCUCAUUGUGGGAAUAUUCCUGUUAUCUUCUGUCCCCUUUAUCCGCUUUUGGGAUUUGCCAUUUUACCUUUGAAAGAAUCUCUUUUCUCGUUGGCGUUUUGUAUUUCAUCGGACAAGAAGACUAGAGGCCCCUCAGUGGGCAGUGAGAGAUGGCGGGGUAUGAAAGACACAAUGUGCUUUCUCAAUAUCUUGACCACUUGUUAGUAUCAAUCAACUAAAAAUCCCAGA